rnacentral:rRNA from 1 species
AUACGUAGGGGGCGAGCGUUGUCCGGAUUUAUUGGGCGUAAAGAGCUCGUAGGCGGCUGGGCAAGUCGGGUGUGAAAACUCCAGGCUCAACUUGGAGAGGCCACUUGAUACUGCCCUGGCUAGAGUCCGGUAGGGGAGCGCGGAAUUCCUGGUGUAGCGGUGAAAUGCGCAGAGAUCAGGAGGAACACCAGUGGCGAAGGCGGCGCUCUGGGCCGGUACUGACGCUGAGGAGCGAAAGCGUGGGGAGCGAACAG